UCGAGAAUUUUUCACAAUGGGCGCAAGCCUGAUGGAGCGACGCCGCGUGGGGGAUGAAUGGCUUCGGCCCGUAAACCCCUGUCAUUUGCGAACAAGUUGGUUCAUCUAACACAUGAACCAUUGAUAGUAGCGAAAGAGGAAGGGACGGCUAACUCUGUGCCAGCAGCCGCGGUAAUACAGAGGUCCCGAGCGUUGUUCGGAUUCACUGGGCGUAAAGGGUGCGUAGGUGGCGGAGUAAGUCGGAUGUGAAAUCUCCGAGCUUAACUCGGAAAUUGCAUUGGAAACUACUCUGCUCGAGGGUUGGAGGGGGGACUGGAAUGCUUGGUGUAGCAGUGAAAUGCGUAGAUAUCAAGCGGAACACCAGUGGCGAAGGCGAGUCCCUGGACAACUCCUGACACUGAGGCACGAAAGCUAGGGGAGCAAACAGGAUUAGAUACCCCGGUAGUCC
rnacentral:rRNA from 1 species